CGGCGAUGUCCGAAUGGGGAAACCCAGUGCAAUUCGUUGCACUAUCGUUAACUGAAUACAUAGGUUAACGAGGCGAACCGGGGGAACUGAAACAUCUAAGUACCCCGAGGAAAAGAAAUCAACCGAGAUUCCCCCAGUAGCGGCGAGCGAACGGGGAGCAGCCCAGAGUCUGAAUCAGCUUGUGUGUUAGUGGAACGGUCUGGAAAGUCCGACGGUACAGGGUGAUAGUCCCGUACACCAAAAUGCACAGGCUGUGAACUCGAAGAGUAGGGCGGGACACGUGGUAUCCUGUCUGAAUAUGGGGGGACCAUCCUCCAAGGCUAAAUACUCCUGACUGACCGAUAGUGAACCAGUACCGUGAGGGAAAGGCGAAAAGAACCCCGGCGAGGGGAGUGAAAAAGAACCUGAAACCGUGUACGUACAAGCAGUGGGAGCACCUUCGGGUGUGACUGCGUACCUUUUGUAUAAUGGGUCAGCGACUUAUAUUCUGUAGCAAGGUUAACCGUAUAGGGGAGCCGCAGGGAAACCGAGUCUUAACUGGGCGUUAAGUUGCAGGGUAUAGACCCGAAACCCGGUGAUCUAGCCAUGGGCAGGUUGAAGGUUGGGUAACACUAACUGGAGGACCGAACCGACUAAUGUUGAAAAAUUAGCGGAUGACUUGUGGCUGGGGGUGAAAGGCCAAUCAAACCGGGAGAUAGCUGGUUCUCCCCGAAAGCUAUUUAGGUAGCGCCUCGUGAAUUCAUCUUCGGGGGUAGAGCACUGUUUCGGCUAGGGGGUCAUCCCGACUUACCAACCCGAUGCAAACUACGAAUACCGAAGAAUGUUAUCACGGGAGACACACGGCGGGUGCUAACGUCCGUCGUGAAGAGGGAAACAACCCAGACCGCCAGCUAAGGUCCCAAAGUCAUGGUUAAGUGGGAAACGAUGUGGGAAGGCACAGACAGCCAGGAUGUUGGCUUAGAAGCAGCCAUCAUUUAAAGAAAGCGUAAUAGCUCACUGGUCGAGUCGGCCUGCGCGGAAGAUGUAACGGGGCUAAACCAUGCACCGAAGCUGCGGCAGCGACACUAUGUGUUGUUGGGUAGGGGAGCGUUCUGUAAGCCUGCGAAGGUGUGCUGUGAGGCAUGCUGGAGGUAUCAGAAGUGCGAAUGCUGACAUAAGUAACGAUAAAGCGGGUGAAAAGCCCGCUCGCCGGAAGACCAAGGGUUCCUGUCCAACGUUAAUCGGGGCAGGGUGAGUCGACCCCUAAGGCGAGGCCGAAAGGCGUAGUCGAUGGGAAACAGGUUAAUAUUCCUGUACUUGGUGUUACUGCGAAGGGGGGACGGAGAAGGCUAUGUUAGCCGGGCGACGGUUGUCCCGGUUUAAGCAUGUAGGCUGAUUGUCCAGGCAAAUCCGGAUAAUCAAGGCUGAGGUGUGAUGACGAGGCACUACGGUGCUGAAGUAACAAAUGCCCUGCUUCCAGGAAAAGCCUCUAAGCAUCAGGUAACAUCAAAUCGUACCCCAAACCGACACAGGUGGUCAGGUAGAGAAUACCAAGGCGCUUGAGAGAACUCGGGUGAAGGAACUAGGCAAAAUGGUGCCGUAACUUCGGGAGAAGGCACGCUGGUGUGUAGGUGAAGCCCCUGCGGGUGGAGCUGAGACCAGUCGAAGAUACCAGCUGGCUGCAACUGUUUAUUAAAAACACAGCACUGUGCAAACACGAAAGUGGACGUAUACGGUGUGACGCCUGCCCGGUGCCGGAAGGUUAAUUGAUGGGGUUAUCCGUAAGGAGAAGCUCUUGAUCGAAGCCCCGGUAAACGGCGGCCGUAACUAUAACGGUCCUAAGGUAGCGAAAUUCCUUGUCGGGUAAGUUCCGACCUGCACGAAUGGCGUAAUGAUGGCCAGGCUGUCUCCACCCGAGACUCAGUGAAAUUGAACUCGCUGUGAAGAUGCAGUGUACCCGCGGCAAGACGGAAAGACCCCGUGAACCUUUACUAUAGCUUGACACUGAACAUUGAGCCUUGAUGUGUAGGAUAGGUGGGAGGCUUUGAAGCGUGGACGCCAGUCUGCGUGGAGCCAACCUUGAAAUACCACCCUUUAAUGUUUGAUGUUCUAACGUUGGCCCCUUACCGGGGUUGCGGACAGUGUCUGGUGGGUAGUUUGACUGGGGCGGUCUCCUCCCAAAGCGUAACGGAGGAGCACGAAGGUUAGCUAAUCCUGGUCGGACAUCAGGAGGUUAGUGCAAUGGCAUAAGCUAGCUUGACUGCGAGCGUGACGGCGCGAGCAGGUGCGAAAGCAGGUCAUAGUGAUCCGGUGGUUCUGAAUGGAAGGGCCAUCGCUCAACGGAUAAAAGGUACUCCGGGGAUAACAGGCUGAUACCGCCCAAGAGUUCAUAUCGACGGCGGUGUUUGGCACCUCGAUGUCGGCUCAUCACAUCCUGGGGCUGAAGUAGGUCCCAAGGGUAUGGCUGUUCGCCAUUUAAAGUGGUACGCGAGCUGGGUUUAGAACGUCGUGAGACAGUUCGGUCCCUAUCUGCCGUGGGCGCUGGAGAAUUGAGGGGGGCUGCUCCUAGUACGAGAGGACCGGAGUGGACGCAUCACUGGUGUUCGGGUUGUCAUGCCAAUGGCACUGCCCGGUAGCUAAAUGCGGAAGAGAUAAGUGCUGAAAGCAUCUAAGCACGAAACUUGCCCCGAGAUGAGUUCUCCCUGAGACUUUAAGUCUCCUGAAGGAACGUUAAAGACGAUGACGUUGAUAGGCCGGGUGUGUAAGCGCAGCGAUGCGUUGAGCUAACCGGUACUAAUGAACCGUGAGGCUUAACCUU
rnacentral:rRNA from 1 species